rnacentral:rRNA from 1 species
UACGUAGGGUGCGAGCGUUACUCGGAAUUACUGGGCGUAAAGCGUGCGCAGGCGGUUUUGUAAGUCAGAUGUGAAAUCCCCGGGCUUAACCUGGGAACUGCGUUUGAAACUACAAGGCUAGAGUGUGUCAGAGGGGGGUAGAAUUCCACGUGUAGCAGUGAAAUGCGUAGAGAUGUGGAGGAAUACCGAUGGCGAAGGCAGCUCCCUGGGAUAACACUGACGCUCAUGCACGAAAGCGUGGGGAGCAAACAGG